AUUUUCCCCCAUAAUUGUUAAUUGUUUCCACAGUAGAUUAAAACUAUUGUAAACAUUAUAAAACUCCAUCAAUCAACCUAUUUCCCCACCCUUUUUUCUCCCUCUCUCUCUAAAAUCCUACCCUCCAUGGACCCACCACCUCCACCCACCACUCCACCACCACCCACCACCACCACGACCGCACCACCACCACCCACAACGUACCCCGACUCCCUGGAUUCAUCCCCUCGUUCACGCGCCACUGACUUCGACGAUCCUUUCCCACCCACCACAUCGAAACUCCGCCUGAUGUGCAGUUACGGUGGCCACAUAGUCCCCCGUCCUCACGACAAGUCCCUCUGCUACGUCGGCGGUGACACUCGCAUGGUCGUCGUGGAGCGUACGUCCACUCUUUCCGACCUCCACUCUCGCCUGUCCAAGACCGUCCUCAACGGCCGCGCUUUCACCUUGAAGUAUCAGCUCCCCAACGAAGAUCUCGACUCACUUAUUACUGUUUCUACUGAGGAAGAUCUUGAUAAUAUGAUUGAUGAGUAUGAUCGCUUGGUCGCUAACUCUAGCGUCGGGAAAUCAUCGCGGAUUCGGUUGUUUCUGUUUCCGUCUAAACCUGAGGGUGCGGCUUCGAUCGGGUCUAUUUUGGAUGGGUCCAAUAGGUCCGAAGAUUGGUUUUUGAAUGCUUUGAAUGGAGCUGCUGCGCUUCAGAGAGGCUUUUCGGAUCCUAGUGGGGUUAAUUGUUUGUUGGGUUUGGAGGAGAAUGGGAAUUUGGGGAAUAGUUUUGCGAAUUCGGAGUCCAAUCAUAAUAAUAAUAACAAUAAUAAUAGUAAUAAUAGUAAUAGUUGUAAUUCUAAGGAGAUUGAGAGUAAUAAGAUGGGGAAAUUGGGGGUCCAGAGUCAAAGUAAUCCGGAUAUCCAUUCGGUGCCGGAUUCGCCGAUUAUUGAGACUACCUCGUCGUUUGGUUCGACGUCGUCGUCGCCUUCUUUAGCGAAUUUGCCACCGAUUAGGGUUCAUGUGGAGGAAGGGGGUAGGGUUUUGGAGCAGAGGAUGAUGGGUGGGAUUGAGGAGCAGUUUGCUCAGAUGGGUGUUAGUGUUCAGAAACAAGGAGUGGACGAUCAGGGUUUUGUAGUACCUGCUGGUUUGGUGUCUGGAGUUUCUGCAGCGGGAGGAACGAUAGUGGGCGGUGGUGGUGGUGGUGGUGGAGACUUUGCAAAUCGAGUAUUUUCGGAUGAUGAGAGAUCAGACCAUGGGGGUAGAAAGCAGCAGCAGCAGCAAAUGGGACAUCCUAUGAUGAUGACUUCACAAGCCUCCCAGAAGCAUUUAAGUGGUGCUGAAUUGCUUUCUCCUGAUUCUGUUUCUAGUGAUAAUAGUUUCUCGAAUGUAAUGUCUCGCCAAAAGCCACUCAUGUAUCAAGAUUUAAGUGGUCAAUUAUCGUCUGGAAGCAAUAGACUUCAAACAAACAUGGCUGAUUCAAACACCCGCAUUCAGAUGCAACAAGUUUCAGAAACUGGGUAUGUACUGCCUCCUCAAUAUGAACAACAGCAACAGCAAAUGCUCCAGCAGCAACAGUCACAGCAUCAACAACAGUUGUUCCAGCAGCAGCAGCAGCAGCAGCACCAGCAACAGCAGCAACACCAACAACAGCAGCAGCAGCAGCAUCAGCAGCAUCAACAGCAGCAGCAGCACCAGCAGCACCAGCAGCACCAACAACAGCAGCAGCACCAGCAGCACCAACAGCAGCAGCAACACCAACAGCAGCACCAACAGCAGCAGCAACACCAACAGCAGCACCAGCAGCAGCAGCAAGCACAAACACAGCCACAGUCCCAGCAAUAUAUUCCUGCUGGUGCACAUUUCAUGCAUCAUCCAUCUGCUGGUGCAAUGCCUAUGCAAGCAUACUAUUCUGUAUAUCCUUCUCAGCAGUCACACCAUCACCCUCAUCAAUACCCUGUGUAUUAUGUGUCAGCUGGGCAAGCUCAAGGUUACAGCUUACCUGUCCAGCAGCAGCCGCCACCAAAUCUGGGUGAUGCCCCAACUCCCAAUCCUUCUACUCGUCCCCAAACCCCCCCAAACCCUACCAUAAUCACCGCACCUCCAGCCUACAACCCACCUAGAAAUGUCCCCCCUCCAAAGCCUGAAAUGGCUCCAAGUGUCUACAGAACAGCAACUGCAGCAGGUCCACAGCUUGUUCAAGUUCCUCCAAGUCAGCAACAACCCCCUCACUCACAACCGCAGUCCCAGGCACAGCCUCAGCCUCAGCCUCACCAGCAACAACAAUUCAUGGGUUACUCCCAGAUUCAUCACCCAUCACAAUCGAUUGCUCCAAGUUCAGCUAGUGGUGCUGGUGGUUAUGCAUAUGAGUUUACUGAUCCUGCUCAUGCUCAAAUAUAUUAUACUCAACCCCUGCCACCUGCUCUUGCUGCUCAAUAUCAAGGAGUGACGUCAGGUCCUGCCAUGGUGUUGCCGGAUGGAUCUUCUCAGCUUCAAAAUGAAAAUGUCAAACAACAAAUCCGGAGCUCUCAGCCUCUGUAGUUUCUUAUCAUAUGAAAUUUGGUCACAUCUACCACCAUUUGCUUGAUCCAACAACAUACCUUCGAAGACGUCGAUUAAAUUUUACGAUCGUGCUCAGCCAAGGAGCUUCUCAUGUGCCCAGGACAUCUUGAUGGAUACUCCCUCGAUUUCCAAGGAUCUUCGUAAUUUAUGUUUUGAGUGUAUUCCAUAAGAUGUUUGUGGCCUAUUUUCAAUUCAUUAUUUAGUAGUGUUUUUCUCUUUCUACACUAUUUUAGCCUAUUUAUUGGACUCUAAUAAUUUUACGCUAUCCAAAAAUUACAUUUCCCUUCCUAUUUAAAUUAAUAAAAUUGACCCAUUUGCACAUUA